UAUACUGUGGUUGUCAAUUUUGUAACAGUGAUGUUGGAAAUUAUUUAACAUUUGCUGAAUUAGGAAUGGAACAAAUCACUCCUUACUUUCAUAUUUGUUUUCGAAUUUGUAUUACGGUGAUUCAUGAGUUUAUAAAAUUUGUAUUCGCUUUGGGCAGGUUAAAUGGAAGGCGUAGAGGUGACCUCUAUUGCGCAAUUGCAUCUGUACACUAAAAGCGGACAAAAUAAAGAUGCAUGUGUGUAGGGUAUGGAAAUCUAGCAUUCUCGGAACUGUUCAGAAAUACGCGACACUACACUAUAUCUUGGUUGAUGAAACGGCGUGGUCGAUUGUGAAGAACAAUGCAGUUGAAGCCUCUACGUUGGACAUUGAUUAUGAAGUUGUGGCUUCAAAGAUUGAGGCUGAUGGUUGUGACGAGAUCAUGAAUUUUCGCACUAUUAGAAUCAGAGGGUAGUAUAAAGUGUGCCGCACGAUAACCAGGUUAUAUUCAUUGCUAAAACAAUGUUC